AAUUAUAUGAAAAUAUCUAAUUAUUUAAUUUGUUGAUCAUCUAAGAAAAAAUAAUUGAAUAUAUUGUUGAGAAAAAAAUAAAUUUUACAAUUAUUAAUAAUUAAACAAAAACAGAAAAUAUUUAUUGUUGAUCAUCUAAUAAAAAAUAAUUGAAUAUUUUGUUGAGAAAAAAAUAAAAUUUUACAAUUGUUAAUAAUUAAACAAAAACAGAAAAUAAUUAUUGAUCAGUAUCAAUUUUUUUAGUAUGUGUUUUAUUUAUUUUUAAUUUAGGAGUGGUGAAUAAUUUUUUUUAUUUUUUUUUAUUUAAGCGUUUAUAUAUUACAAUCAUGUUUUACUUGGGACUCGAACUUAGAACUUCCAAGACAUACACCCACCUAUGGCCACUUGAGGCUACCUCAAGUGGUUUUUAGGCAACAACGUGUGACACCCAGCGCAGACGAUAAUUUUUCUUCCAUUUAACUUAAGGAACAAUGAUCUUACCAUUAAAAAAAUUAGAAAAAUUCACAAAUGUAUUUUUUUUUUUUUGGAAUGACUUCCCGUAAAUGUUUAAUUUAAACUAAUAUUGGGUAAGCGUAGGGGGGAAUAUAUGAAUAAAAAGCCCUACGUUCGGUAACAAUAUUUUGUUUUUUAUUUUUUUAAUUUAAAAUCAAAAUUGAAUAAAUUUUGAAAACAGAUUUAUGUUGAUUUUAAAAACAUAUUUUCUCUUUUGCUUCUUUCUUUCUUGCUCGUUUCCUCUUCAAAAGCUCAAACUAUUCCAUGGCUUCAGUUAUUCAACAAAUUGUUUUGCAGAUUGGUUCUUAAGAGAUCUAUAAAGACGGAUGUGAAAAAAAACAUAUUUUGAUAGAGAUGAAGACAUUCUUGAAGUGCAAGAUACUACUAUACAAAGUACUCACGAAAUUUUGAAUGAUACUUCAAGAGAUCAAAUUCGUGAAAUGGCUAAUGUCUGUGAUGAAAUUGCUAAUCAUAUAUAGAGAGCAAAACAACGAUGAAGAUAAUGAGUAGAAUUUAUUAACUGUUAGGACUUUUUUAAUAUUUUUCUUUAAGAGUGGGCAAUUAUUAGUUCAUAUUUUAUUAUGAUUUUUGUCGGUUUUGUGUUAUAGAUAAUCACUUUCGUGAUUUCAAAAUACUUGAAUUUUUUUAAAAUGUUAAUGAUUAUUUUUUAUUUGA